rnacentral:rRNA from 1 species
GCAUGAAGUCGGAAUUGCUAGUAAUCGCGGAUCAGCAUGCCGCGGUGAAUACGUUCCCGGGCCUUGUACACACCGCCCGUCACACCAUGAGAGCCGGUAACACCCGAAGUCAAUAGUCUAACCGCAAGGAGGACAUUGCCGAAGGUGGGAUUGGUAAUUGGGGUGAAGUCGUAACAAGGUACC